rnacentral:ncRNA from 1 species
GAUGAUAGAGGCGCGAACGUCAAUAGUAAGCAUUUGGAGAUUUGCAGAAUCCGUGAAGAAUGUUGAAAGGGGCGGUCGCCGAAGUGUGCGUAUUUACUGCUGUUUCGCAUGCUGGUUCUGCAUUUAAGAAGUGCAGAGCUGUCAGAGUCAAUCUCUGGAGGGCUAUCU